UGGCACCCUAAGCCAAUUUAUACCACAAGAGUGAGGCUCUUGACGAAGCUAGUCUUAUCUGUGAGAGUGGUGUGUAGCACAGUUGCACAGGUCGAAUUCCUCUGGAGCGAUAAAGUUCUAUCUGGGUGAAACGGAGAGUCAAGCGGUACAUGCACCAAUCACUAGGCCUGGGAGGGUGCAGGGUGCAAAGCGGCGUGCAGCAAAGUGUAUGGCCAGCACAAAAUACUCGCACUUUUGUCAUGCAUACCAUGCAGCAAGCAGUAGUGAAGCGGGUUGGUAGUGUGGCAAGAAGGCUGCGAUAGUUUUUAAGUCGGUGUAUGAAGGAGGAGAAUAAGCAGGAUAGAGAAGACACAAAAAAAAGGCCUAAAAGGAAAAGUAAAUGCUACAAAUGUCUACUAGUGUGUACUAAAUUAAUAAAGCGAGUGGUAAAGCUCAA